rnacentral:rRNA from 1 species
UACGUAGGUGGCAAGCGUUGUCCGGAUUUACUGGGCGUAAAGAGCGCGCAGGCGGUCGUUCAAGUCGCGUGUGAAAGCCCCCGGCUCAACUGGGGAGGGUCACGCGAUACUGCUCGACUCGAAGGCAGGAGAGGGAAGUGGAAUUCCCGGUGUAGUGGUGAAAUGCGUAGAUAUCCGGAGGAACACCAGUGGCGAAGGCGACUUUCUGGCCUGUUCUUGACGCUGAGGCGCGAAAGCUAGGGGAGCAAACGGG